UACGUAGGAUGCAAGUGUUAUCCGGAAUCACUGGGCGUAAAGCGUCUGUAGGUGGUUUAAUAAGUCAACUGUUAAAUCUUGAGGCUCAACCUCAAAAUCGCAGUCGAAACUAUUAGGCUAGAGUAUAGUAGGGGUAAAGGGAAUUUCCAGUGGAGCGGUGAAAUGCGUAGAGAUUGGAAAGAACACCGAUGGUGAAGGCACUUUACUGGGCUAUUACUAACACUCAGAGACGAAAGCUAGGGUAGCAAAUGGG
rnacentral:rRNA from 1 species